AAGGUCGUCUUUGAGGGGGAGGAGGUUUGAAGAGGAGCGGCGGGUUGCUGCAGGAGCUCAUUGUACGGSUGUUGGUUCUGUUUCAAACCUGGAAGUCCUGGUGAGCAGGACGGCAGUGUGUAACCGUGUUCGGGGACCUGCAAUACAUACCUCCAUCCAGGUUGAUAUUUCCCACAGCUUGCUGUAACACGAGGAACUUCACAACAACAGGAACGGUACGCUCUGCUUUCAAAACCUGCUGGACUUUUGCAAUUUUUUUUUUUUUGUUGUUGUUGUUGUUUUUAACAAGAGAUGGUCGGCAGUUUGAACUUGCCAAAUGUUUGCGAAGGAGACCCUUUGGGUAUGAGCUGCAGCAGCAGGGCUGAGAGAGGACUGGACAGCCCGGACUCUGGCUUACCUCCGAGUCCGAGCCCCAGCGCCUGGCUGCAGCCUGCGAGCGUGGAGAAACCCGGCGGUGUGAGCCCGGUGCCCGAGGACGAAGGAAGGGGUUCCCAGAUUUCAGUUGUACCAGCUGCGAGUUUACCACAGCUACAGCCGCUGUCCUUUGGAGAAGGCAUUGCUCUCAAUCCRCUCCCAUCUAAGGAACUCAGAUACACGUCGUUCGUGCUCUACGACUCCAACCGUCACUUCAUCCAGAAUGUGGAUCUGCAGCCGCUGGGCCGUGGCCUCGAGCACUGCAGGCAGACGAUCGUGGCUUUGCCCCACAGCACCUGGCGCCGCUACAAGACUCAACUGGACCUGGAGCCACGCCUCCGCCCCCACAGCUUCGGGAGCACGGCCAUCACCUACCCCAAGAAAACCAGCGAGGUUUACGUGACGGAGCUGAGCUACGACUCCCACCGGCUGUGCAGGCGCUUCCUGUCGAGCGUGGAGCUGGAGGUCAGCAGCAGGAGGCCGCUUCAGUGAGAGGGGAGGAAAGGAGCAUGAUGGUUAGGGUCAUUUCCACAAUCACUGCACUGAUGCCCCUCUUAGGGACCACUUGAGUGCUGGUCUCUGAACUGAAGCGCCUCAGAAACCAGCUGUCUACAUCUUCAGCCUCAUUAAAAUACAUCAGAGAUAUCUCCUUUCCUCACGUCCUCCCCUGUUGUUGCCAUCCUGAUCUUAAGCAGUGGACUGGAGAACAACCUUARGGAUUUUAAAAAAUAAUUAUAUAAGCUUGAUAUGGAGGUUUGAUUCUGCCACUGACCUGCUGUCUAGUUUUAAGUUCUGUAUCUUCUGUAAGCGUUCAUCUUGAACUAUAGAUGGGAAAACUCCAUGCUGAUGAAUACUGUAUAGGGGCUGGAUACAAAUUCUGUAUUUGUCCCACUGAAUGAAACAACUUCAUUGGUUCUUUCCUGAAUGUUUAUUUUAUUUUAUUUUUUUUGUUAAAGGACAUUUUUUAAAUCUGCAGAGAAAUGCGAACGAAGAUGAAAAAUGUCCAUCUUUAAAUCUGAUAGUCAAGCGGAUCAAGCUGUUCGGAAUUUACUUUAAAUAGUUUUUUUUUUUUCUUUUGAAGAUAAUUUUCAGACACAACUUUUUUUUUUCUGUCUUUAAGUCUGUUUGGAAAGACUAAAUGUAUCCACACUGUGCAAAGGAAAUGUUGAAAGUAUUUUUGAGWGUUUAAUAACCGGAUAUUGUGUACAGCUUUAACUGUCAACGCUCUUUAGUCACCUUUUUCUCAAGCCUAUUUUACACCUCAUUUGUAUGUUAUGAUAGACAUUUUAUUUCCACCGUGUAAGCUCAGAUUAAGCAGGUAAUAUAGAUUUGUUUCUAAUUUGCAGUUUUACUGAUGUGGCUCAUUCACUGGCUUACAGUAUUCCACUGCUGCAGAUUUUUGAGUGAAAUUGUAUUUAUAUUGUGUUUUAUUUUUUUUUUAUUUUUUAUUUUUUUUUAGUUUUAUAAAGGUGUGAGAGUUCACAAGCUGACCAUCAGUGGUGGUAAAGAGAAUUUCGGAAAUGCUGUAUAUGCUUUAUUGAUUUGUAUUUCUUAAUCACCUGUUUGAAGCCUUUUUUAAAUAAAGUGGUCACUUUUUCAAUAUCUUUUUUUUUUUUUGGAUUUCAUUUUUAAGAUAGCAUUUCUUCAUUAGAAUGUAAAUACAGAUGUAAAACUGAAGAAUAAAGCUCUUGACAAAU